rnacentral:rRNA from 1 species
GAUGAACGCUGGCGGCGUGCCUAAUACAUGCAAGUCGAGCGAACAGACGAGAAGCUUGCUGCUCUGCUGUUAGCGGCGGACGGGUGAGUAACACGUGGAUAACCUACCUAUAAGACUGGGAUAACUUCGGGAAAUCGUAGCUAAUACCGGAUAAUAUUUUGAACCGCAUGGUUCAAUAGUGAAAGACGGUCUUGCUGUCCCUUAUAGCUGGAUCCGCGCUGCAUUAGCUAGUUGGUAAGGUAACGGCUUACCAAGGCAACGAUGCAUAGCCGACCUGAGAGGGUGAUCGGGCACACUGGAACUGAGACACGGUCCAGACUCCUACGGGAGGCAGCAGUAGGGAAUCUUCCGCAAUGGGCGAAAGCAUGACGGAGCAACGCCGCGUGAGUGAUGAAGGUCUUCGGAUCGUAAAACUCUGUUAUUAGGGAAGAACAGAUGUGUAAGUAACUAUGCACAUCUUGACGGUACCUAAUCAGAAAGCCACGGCUAACUACGUG